rnacentral:rRNA from 1 species
CCGGUAAACGGCGGCCGUAACUAUAACGGUCCUAAGGUAGCGAAAUUCCUUGUCGGGUAAGUUCCGACCUGCACGAAUGGCGUAAUGAUGGCCAGGCUGUCUCCACCCGAGACUCAGUGAAAUUGAACUCGCUGUGAAGAUGCAGUGUACCCGCGGCAAGACGGAAAGACCCCGUGAACCUUUACUAUAGCUUGACACUGAACAUUGAGCCUUGAUGUGUAGGAUAGGUGGGAGGCUUUGAAGUGUGGACGCCAGUCUGCAUGGAGCCGACCUUGAAAUACCACCCUUUAAUGUUUGAUGUUCUAACGUUGGCCCCUGAUCGGGGUUGCGGACAGUGUCUGGUGGGUAGUUUGACUGGGGCGGUCUCCUCCUAAAGAGUAACGGAGGAGCACGAAGGUUGGCUAAUCCUGGUCGGACAUCAGGAGGUUAGUGCAAUGGCAUAAGCCAGCUUGACUGCGAGCGUGACGGCGCGAGCAGGUGCGAAAGCAGGUCAUAGUGAUCCGGUGGUUCUGAAUGGAAGGGCCAUCGCUCAACGGAUAAAAGGUACUCCGGGGAUAACAGGCUGAUACCGCCCAAGAGUUCAUAUCGACGGCGGUGUUUGGCACCUCGAUGUCGGCUCAUCACAUCCUGGGGCUGAAGUAGGUCCCAAGGGUAUGGCUGUUCGCCAUUUAAAGUGGUACGCGAGCUGGGUUUAGAACGUCGUGAGACAGUUCGGUCCCUAUCUGCCGUGGGCGCUGGAGAACUGAGGGGGGCUGCUCCUAGUACGAGAGGACCGGAGUGGACGCAUCACUGGUGUUCGGGUUGUCAUGCCAAUGGCACUGCCCGGUAGCUAAAUGCGGAAGAGAUAAGUGCUGAAAGCAUCUAAGCACGAAACUUGCCCCGAGAUGAGUUCUCCCUGACUCCUUGAG